AAAUUGAAGAGUUUGAUCAUGGCUCAGAUUGAACGCUGGCGGCAGGCCUAACACAUGCAAGUCGAGCGGAAACGAGAUAUCUGAACCUUCGGGGAACGAUAUCGGCGUCGAGCGGCGGACGGGUGAGUAAUGCCUGGGAAAUUGCCCUGAUGUGGGGGAUAACCAUUGGAAACGAUGGCUAAUACCGCAUAAUAGCUUCGGCCCAAAGAGGGGGACCUUCGGGCCUCUCGCGUCAGGAUAUGCCCAGGUGGGAUUAGCUAGUUGGUGAGGUAAUGGCUCACCAAGGCAACGAUCCCUAGCUGGUCUGAGAGGAUGAUCAGCCACACUGGAACUGAGACACGGUCCAGACUCCUACGGGAGGCAGCAGUGGGGAAUAUUGCACAAUGGGCGCAAGCCUGAUGCAGCCAUGCCGCGU
rnacentral:rRNA from 1 species